rnacentral:rRNA from 1 species
AUUGAACGCUGGCGGCAUGCCUUACACAUGCAAGUCGAACGGCAGCGGGGACUUCGGUCCGCCGGCGAGUGGCGAACGGGUGAGUAAUGUAUCGGAACGUACCAUUGAGUGGGGGAUAACGUAGCGAAAGUUACGCUAAUACCGCAUAUUCUCUCCGGAGGAAAGCAGGGGACCGCAAGGCCUUGCGCUCUUUGAGCGGCCGAUAUCAGAUUAGCUAGUUGGUGAGGUAAAGGCCCACCAAGGCGACGAUCUGUAGCGGGUCUGAGAGGAAGAUCGGCCACACGGGGACUGAGACACGGUCCAGACGCCUACGGGAGGGAGCAGUGGGGAAUUUUGGACAAUGUGGGAAACCCUGAGCCAGCCAUGCCGCGUGAGUGAAGAAGGCCUUCGGGUUGUAAAGCUCUUUCGGCCGGGAAAAAAUCGCAUGGGCUAAUACCCUGUGUGAAUGAUGGUACCGGAAUAAGAAGCACCGGCUAACUACGUGCCUGCAGCCGCGGUAAGAC